rnacentral:rRNA from 1 species
CAGCCGCCGCGGGAAUACGUAGGGUGCAAGCGUUAAUCGGAAUUACUGGGCGUAAAGCGUGCGCAGGCGGUUCGCUAAGACAGAUGUGAAGUCCCCGGGCUUAACCUGGGAACUGCAUUUGUGACUGGCGGGCUAGAGUAUGGCAGAGGGGGGUAGAAUUCCACGUGUAGCAGUGAAAUGCGUAGAGAUGUGGAGGAAUACCGAUGGCGAAGGCAGCCCCCUGGGCCAAUACUGGCGCUCAUGCACGAAAGCGUGGGGAGCAAACAGGAUUAGAUACCCCGGUAGUCCAUGUCUCUUAUAC